UGAGGGAAAUAAUGAACAUGCCUGUCAUUCAGAACCUUAUGAGUAAUCCUGACAUGAUGCGAAACUUGAUUAUGAGCAAUCCCCAGAUGCGUGAGAUUUUAGACCGCAAUCCUGAACUUGCACACGUACUUAAUGAUCCCAGUACACUGCGACAGACUGUAGAAGCGGCAAGAAAUCCUGAAAUCAUGAGAGAAAUGAUGCGGAACACAGACAGGGCAAUGAGUAACAUUGAAUCUUCCCCUGAAGGAUUUAACAUGCUUAGGCGCAUGUAUG
rnacentral:misc_RNA from 1 species